rnacentral:rRNA from 1 species
UACGGAGGGGGCUAGCGUUGUUCGGAAUCACUGGGCGUAAAGGGUGCGUAGGCGGGUCUUUAAGUCAGGGGUGAAAUCCUGGAGCUCAACUCCAGAACUGCCUUUGAUACUGAAGAUCUUGAGUUCGGGAGAGGUGAGUGGAACUGCGAGUGUAGAGGUGAAAUUCGUAGAUAUUCGCAAGAACACCAGUGGCGAAGGCGGCUCACUGGCCCGGUACUGACGCUGAGGUGCGAAAGCGUGGGGAGCAAACAGG